UACGUAGGGCGCAAGCGUUGUCCGGAAUUAUUGGGCGUAAAGAGCUCGUAGGCGGACUGUCACGUCUGCUGUGAAAAGCUGGGGCUUAACCCUGGCCUUGCAGUGGAUACGGGCAGACUAGAGGUAGGUAGGGGAGAAUGGAAUUCCCGGUGUAGCGGUGAAAUGCGCAGAUAUCGGGAGGAACACCGGUGGCGAAGGCGGUUCUCUGGGCCUUACCUGACGCUGAGGAGCGAAAGCGUGGGGAGCGAACAGG
rnacentral:rRNA from 1 species